rnacentral:rRNA from 1 species
UGGGGAAUUUUGGACAAUGGGGGAAACCCUGAUCCAGCCAUCCCGCGUGUGCGAUGAAGGCCUUCGGGUUGUAAAGCACUUUUGGCAGGAAGGAAACGUCGCGGGUUAAUACCCCGCGAAACUGACGGUACCUGCAGAAUAAGCACCGGCUAACUACGUGCCAGCAGCCGCGGUAAUACGUAGGGUGCAAGCGUUAAUCGGAAUUACUGGACGUAAAGCGUGCGCAGGCGGUUCGGAAAGAAAGAUGUGAAAUCCCAGAGCUUAACUUUGGAACUGCAUUUUUAACUACCGGGCUAGAGUGUGUCAGAGGGAGGUGGAAUUCCGCGUGUAGCAGUGAAAUGCGUAGAUAUGCGGAGGAACACCGAUGGCGAAGGCAGCCUCCUGGGAUAACACUGACGCUCAUGCACGAAAGCGUGGGGAGCAAACAGGAUUAGAUACCCUGGUAGUCCACGCCCUAAACGAUGUCAACUAGCUGUUGGGGCCUUCGGGCCUUGGUAGCGCAGCUAACGCGUGAAGUUGACCGCCUGGGGAGUACGGUCGCAAGAUUAAAACUUAAAUGAAUUGAC